rnacentral:rRNA from 1 species
GACGACGACUCCUACGGGAGGCAGCAGUGGGGAAUAUUGCACAAUGGGCGCAAGCCUGAUGCAGCCAUGCCGCGUGUAUGAAGAAGGCCUUCGGGUUGUAAAGUACUUUCAGCAGUGAGGAAGGUGGGUAUGUUAAUAGCAUAUUCAUUUGACGUUAGCUGCAGAAGAAGCACCGGCUAACUCCGUGCCAGCAGCCGCGGUAAUACGGAGGGUGCGAGCGUUAAUCGGAAUUACUGGGCGUAAAGCGCAUGCAGGUGGUUUGUUAAGUCAGAUGUGAAAGCCCGGGGCUCAACCUCGGAAUUGCAUUUGAAAACUGGCAAACUAGAGUACUGUAGAGGGGGUAGAAUUUCAGGUGUAGCGGUGAAAUGCGUAGAGAUCUGAAGGAAUACCGGUGGCGAAGGCGGCCCCCUGGACAGAUACUGACACUCAGAUGCGAAAGCGUGGGGAGCAAACAGGAUUAGAUACCCUGGUAG